ACCGGCGCACGGGUGCGUAACGCGUAUGCAACCUGCCCAUUCCCGGGGGAUAGCCCGCCGAAAGGCGGAUUAAUACCCCAUGGCCCCUAAUGCCCGCAUGGGCGGUAGGGUAAAGCUCCGGCGGGAAUGGAUGGGCAUGCGUGCCAUUAGCUGGUUGGUGGGGUAACGGCCCACCAAGGCUACGAUGGCUAGGGGGUCUGAGAGGAUGGUCCCCCACACUGGUACUGAGACACGGACCAGACUCCUACGGGAGGCAGCAGUGAGGAAUAUUGGUCAAUGGGCGGAAGCCUGAACCAGCCAUGCCGCGUGCAGGACGACGGCCCUACGGGUUGUAAACUGCUUUUCCGGGGGAAGAAUAAGGCCCAUGCGUGGGCCGAUGCCGGUACCCCGGGAAUAAGGAUCGGCUAACUCCGUGCCAGCAGCCGCGGUAAUACGGAGGAUCCUAGCGUUAUCCGGAUUUACUGGGUUUAAAGGGUGCGUAGGCGGGCGUUUAAGUCCGCGGUGAAAGUCUGCGGCUCAACCGUAGGACUGCCGUGGAUACUGGGCGCCUUGAAUUCGGUCGAGGCGGGCGGAAUGCGUGGUGUAGCGGUGAAAUGCUUAGAUAUCACGCAGAACGCCGAUAGCGAAGGCAGCUCGCCGGGCCGAUAUUGACGCUGAGGCACGAAAGCGUGGGGAUCAAACAGGAUUAGAUACCCUGGUAGUCCACGCCGGGAACGAUGAUGGCUGGGUGUUGGCGAUACACCGUCAGCGCCUGAGGGAAACCAUAA
rnacentral:rRNA from 1 species